GUGCCAGCCGCCGCGGUAAAACGUAGGAGGCGAGCGUUAUCCGGAGUUACUGGGCGUAAAGGGUGUGUAGGCGGUUUUAUAAGUGGGGUGUGAAACGCUCAGGCUAAACCUGGGAGGUGCGCCUCAGACUGUAGAGCUAGAGUGGGAUAGAGGGACGUGGAAUUCCGGGUGGAGCGGUGAAAUGUGUAGAGAUCCGGAGGAACACCAGAGGCGCAAGCGGCGUCCUGGGUCCCAACUGACGCUGAAACACGAAAGCUUGGGGAGCGAACGGGAUUAGAUACCCGCGUAGUCC
rnacentral:rRNA from 1 species